rnacentral:ribozyme from 14 species
CGAGAUGCUGCGCGAAUACACACACGACACAGCGAAAGCAGGUAGAAUAACAGAAGAGAAGACAAGACAAGACAAGACAAGAGAAGAGAACUUUGUUCAUUAUUCAUUCAUUUGUGUAUUUACUGAUUUGUGCAUUUGACAGAAGAACUGAGA